CCCGAUACGACCGUACCGCAAACCGACACUGGUGCGCGAGAUGAGUAUUCUAAGGCGCUUGAGAGAACUCAGGAGAAGGAACUCGGCAAAUUGACACCGUAACUUCGGAAGAAGGUGUGCCCUAUUAGUGUGUAGUGAACAACGAAGCAUGAAUGGGUUGCAAAAAAUCGGUGGCUGCGACUGUUUAUUAAAAACACAGCACUCUGCAAACACGAAAGUGGACGUAUAGGGUGUGACGCCUGCCCGGUGCUGGAAGAUUAAAUGAUGGGGUGCAAGCUCUUGAUUGAAGUCCCAGUAAACGGCGGCCGUAACUAUAACGGUCCUAAGGUAGCGAAAUUCCUUGUUGGGUAAGUUCCGACCUGCACGAAUGGCGUAACGAUGGCCACACUGUCUCCUCCUGAGACUCAGCGAAGUUGAAAUGUUUGUGAUGAUGCAAUCUCCCCGCGGAAAGACGGAAAUACCCCAUGAACCUUUACUGUAGCUUUGUAUUGGACUUUGAACAGAUCUGUGUAGGAUAGGUGGGAGGCUUUGAAGCAGGGUCGCUAGAUCUUGUGGAGCCAACGUUGAAAUACCACCCUGGUGUGUUUGAGGUUCUAACCUAGGUCCAUUAUCUGGAUCGGGGACAGUGCAUGGUAGGCAGUUUGACUGGGGCGGUCUCCUCCCAAAGCGUAACGGAGGAGUUCGAAGGUACGCUAGUUACGGUCGGACAUCGUGACGAUAGUGCAAUGGCAUAAGCGUGCUUAACUGCGAGACUGACAAGUCGAGCAGAUGCGAAAGCAGGACAUAGUGAUCCGGUGGUUCUGUAUGGAAGGGCCAUCGCUCAACGGAUAAAAGGUACUCUGGGGAUAACAGGCUGAUACCGCCCAAGAGUUCAUAUCGACGGCGGUGUUUGGCACCUCGAUGUCGGCUCAUCUCAUCCUGGGGCUGUAGCCGGUCCCAAGGGUAUGGCUGUUCGCCAUUUAAAGAGGUACGUGAGCUGGGUUUAAAACGUCGUGAGACAGUUUGGUCCCUAUCUUCCGUGGGCGCUGCAGAUUUGAGGAAGCCUGCUCCUAGUACGAGAGGACCGGAGUGGACACACCUCUGGUGUAUCGGUUGUCACGCCAGUGGCAUUGCCGAGUAGCUAAGUGUGGAAGAGAUAACCGCUGAAAGCAUCUAAGCGGGAAACUCGUUUCAAGAUGAGAUCUGCCGGGGCCUUGAGCCCCCUAAAGAGUCGUUCAAGACCAGGACGUUGAUAGGUCAGGUGUGGAAGCUAAA
rnacentral:rRNA from 1 species